UUGAGGGUUGUUGUUGUUGUUGAUGGUGGUGGUGGUGAUGGUGGUAUUGUUUGCUUACUUUUUAUCUUGUUUUUGUUUGCUUGCUUUUUUGCCUUUGUCUUUAUUUUCGUCUUUUUUCUCACUGCUAAUACUACUACAGCUACUACUUUUUGUUUGUUUACUUUCUUUGCUUCAUUUGUUUUUGUCAUUCUCUCACCACUAAGACAACUACAAUUAUUACUACUAUCAUUACUACUACUACUACUACUACUACUACUACUACUACUACCACCACCAUCAACAACACCACUGUUAUUCUUCUAUUGACUCUCGGGUUGUUCCUCUCCUUGAUUUAUUAUGUCCCGUACUAAUCAUCAUCCAUCACUCCUUGUGUGUCAUUAAGAACAGUGUUAGGCCAUGGAAUUAUGCCCUCCUUACCUCUCUACCUCCUCUUCUACCCCUUCCUUACCUCCAUCUCUCACUCUUCUAACCUUGACCUCUCCCUCUCUCCUCUUUACUCCUUGUUCUGUUCCCUCAAGCUUGUGUGAGUCGAGAGUUCAGUAGUCUCGAGGUGCUAAUGGUGACUGGCAGGGAGCAUGAUCUCAAAUGUGGGCAGACUUACUAACUUGGCGUCUGAGGGGAGUCGGGCUGAGUUAGGUUAAGUUGCCAGGGAGGGUCGUGCGGUAAGCCUGAGGAAGAGGGAUGCUGUGGUAGAAAUGACCUUGUAAAUGUGGCGUCUGUGGGUCUUCGAUGUUUCUUGGGAUCGUCUAUACAUGAUCCUCUUUGUGGUUGGAAGACGGACAGUCCCUUCUUUUUUCUCCUUUGCUGUUUCUUAUGAUUGUCUAAACAUGACCGUCUUUGUGGUGGGAUAGAAACACUUCCCUCUCUUUGGCUUGGCAGAUGGGAGUGUUGUGGUUGUGUUUCUCACCUAGUUGAGCCGUGUGUGCUGUGUAAUGUACCAUGUAUGUGUAAACUCCUCUUGUGUUAUUGUGUGUGUUCUGGGGAUGUUACGCAUGUGUUGAGUCCUUUGUGUUCCUGUUUAGCGUUCUGCAUGGCUGGUGUUGUGUGUCUGCUUCUCUUUGUGUUACUGUAUAGGAUAAAGUUAGGGGGGUGAUGUGUUGUAUGUGUGUGUGUACUCCCCCCUCUCCCCCUUUAUUUUUGUGUUGCUGUAAGGGUUGGGAGUGUUGUGUAUGUGUGUGUAUGAAGAGUGCGAUCCUCUUUAGUGGUCCUGUGGUGAAUUUUGGUAAGGGUUGUGUUUCGGAAAGUGUUGCGCCUUGUUUGUGUUGUUCUGAGAGGUGUGUUGCGUGUAUAUAUCCUAUUUUGUGUUUGUGUGGGUUCUAAGAAUGGCUUUGCGUUACCCUUUGUGGUGUGUAUUCAAUUUGUUUAUCCUCUUUUUACUUGUUUAUUCCCUUUGUUUUUGUUGAUUAUUAUGUGUUUUUUGUUUUAUCUUUUUGUUUGUUUAUGCCCAUUUUCUUGCUUAUUCUUCUUUGCUUCGUUUUCAUUGUUUAUUGUCCAUGUUUAUUUAUUACCUUUUGUUAACUUUAUUACCUCUAUUUCUUCUCUGUAUUCCCUUUGUUCCUAUAUUUUGUUUAUUAUUUUGUUUACUCCCGUUGUUUAUCUCCGUUGUUUCUCCCUUUGUGUCUGUGUAUAGUCUUCCUUGUGUUGCUAUGUUGUUCGCGGGAUUCCUUUGUGUUCCUGUAUCGCGUUCUGCAGGGCCUCACGUUAAUGAUGCAGUUCACUUAAGGGGAGGGGUCUCGCUUCCUCGACGUUAGCACGGUCCAAUACACUCCCCUUAAUAAAAGACACCCGCGUUUCCUUUCUCCUCCUCUUGAAUCCCUUAGCCCCUUGACUGCGGAUUUCCUACCAGAAGACCUCACCAAGCUUCAGGAAUGGAACAAAAAGUGUCUGCUACAAUUCAGUGAAGAAAAAUUUAAAGUCCUGCAUCUUGGGAGGGAUAUCCAGCAUACCAAUAACACAUGGGAAACACUCACUAUCCACCACAGAGGCAGAGAAAGACCUGGGACUAUAAUAUGUUACCAGGCUACCAGUGAAAGCCAAAUCCGUGCCAAUCGCAGUGGACGGGUUAGUAAAGGGGGACAGACGCCUCAAGGGGACAUGCUCAAGGCAGCGUUACCAGAGAUUAUCGUACUCAGAACAUUGCAUUUAUUAGUUACAGAUCCAAAACUAUCGUACCAACACAACGUCAUUCUAUUAAAGUUUUCGUUGCAACCGUUGACUAAUGAUCUUUCUUUCGCAAUAGUCAUGGGUCAGAACCAGGAAUAUACUGUGUGCUGAGUACGAUAAUUUGGUAACGCUGGCUCAAGGAAGUAGCCCCCCACCCCCACCCACCCCUCUUUAGGCCCUCAUGUGAUCUCCCUCUCGCUAGGAAAGGAGGCGGCCGUGGGGUGAGGUGCAGGCCGGGGUGACAAAUAUUGAUGCAUCGAUGUACGUGUUUCUGAUGAUAAGUCGCCGUCCAGCCUGGCAACCAAUGUGUACCAAUCAGCUGUAUAUGAGUUUGUCGGCCAACUGUGCCAUAACUGUGUACCCUGAAAACAUAAAUGAGGUUAAUGUAGCACCGCAGAUGUGGAAGAUAUGCGGUAAUAGUUUGAGUUGAAGUUACGUUUUUGAAGUGCGGAAAAGGAGUUUGAGAGGCGUAGAGAAGGAAUAAGAGAUAAUGAGGGAUAAAAGUGUGAGUGAAAUAGAAGAAGAGAGGAAGAAAACAAAACAGAAAUUAGGUUAAUAUAGCAACGCAGAUGUUAACGAAAUGUGGUUUUAGGUUUAGAUGAAGUAUUUGAAAUUGGGAAGAGAAGGAUUUUGACAGACAUAAAGGAGAAAUAAAUAUAGUGAGGAAUAGAAGUGCGAGUCGAAUAGAAGAAACAAGAGCAGGAGAGGAAAAGGAGCGAGGAUGGAAUUGACGUAGGAAAAUGAAAAAAGAAGAAAAAGGAAAAAGGGACGUAAAAAAAAAGCAAUUAGAGCAGAAGGGGAGGAAAGGAAGUGAAAGAGGGAAGAAUUGAGAAAGUAAAAGACAAUUAAGAGUAAGGGUUAAGAGCGCAAGUGGAUUAAAAGAAGACAGUAAAGAAAAUGAAGAAGCAGUAAUUAAGGCAGAAGAAGAGGAAACUAAGUGAAGGAAGGAAGGACUUAGAGAGGAAAAGGAGAAACGUGCAAUGAAGGUUAAAACAGGAGUAAUAAUAAAAUGGAAGAAGAGAAUGAAGAAAACGAAGAAGCGGGUAAAGGCAGAGGGAGAGGAAACUAAGUGAAGGAAGAAAGGACUAAGAGGAAAAGGAGAAAAUAUGCAGUGAAGGUUAAAACAGGAGUAAUAAUGAAAUGGAAGAAGAGAAUGAAGAAGACGAAGCAGGUAAAGGCAGAGGGAGAGGAAACUAAGUGAAGGAAGAAAGGACUAAGAGGAAAAGGAGAAAAUAUGCAAUGAAGGUUAAAACAGGAGUAAUAAUGAAAUAGAAGAAGAGAAUGAAGAAGAUGAAGAAGCGGGUAAAGGCAGAGGGAGAUGAAACUAAGUGAAGGAAGGAAGGACUUAGAGAGGAAAAGGAGAAACGUGCAGUGAAGGUUAAAACAGGAGUAAUAAUAAAAUGGAAGAAGAGAAUGAAGAUGAAGAAGCCGGUAUACACAUGUGAAAAUAGGGCAUAGCUGCGUAUGUAAAACAAGAAGAAAACACUAAUCAUCAACAGGCAUCAGACAUCAUAGAGAGGAAAAGUAGAAAUGUGCAAUGAAGGUUAAAACAGGAGUAAUAAUAAAAUAGAAGAAGAGAAUAAAGAAGAAGAAGAAGAAGCCGGCAUACAAGUGAAAAUAGGGCUCAAGUAGAUAUAGAAAAAAAGAAAAAGAACUAACUAUUAAAAAAGCAUCAGACAUCAUAAUAAAACGAUAAAAAGAAACGAACACAACGUAAUCAAGAACACCAUUAUCACCACCAUCAUCAGUAGCCCCAUCACGGUCGUCUCAUUACGCAACCAAAGGCGAUGACGUAAGGAAGACUAAUGACAAGGUUGUGGUAGUAUGACUGUGAGUGAUGCAACAGGAGGAGGAGGAGGAGGACGAGGAGCAGCUGCCUGGAUAGAGAGGGCGAUAAUAGUGUGUGUGUGUGUGUGUGUGUGUGUGUGUGAAUAGAAAAGCUGUAGGGAAAAUUAUUGUAUGGGAGAUUGUAUUGAUGCGGGAGAGGAGAAAGUGGCUUCGUGGCACAAGAGAAUCGGAGAGGAGACUGUGUGAGGAGGAGGAGAAUGAAGAGGGAGGCUGUAAGUAUGAGAGCUCGUAGAGAAGCUGAAGUUAGUAUGGAAGUUUGUAUACAUGAAGAGGAGAAAGGUUGCGUGAGUUUAAGAAACCCACAAAAAACAAAGACAGUGGAUGUAUAGCUGCGUUGAAAGGCUGCGACUAUGAAUGUUAAUGGGAAAGUAUGAUGCAGAUAAAUGAACUAGAUAUAAAUAAGAGGAAGAAAAGGUGCGCUGGAUAUUAGAAGGAUGAGGAAGAGGAGAGGACAGUGAGCUGAUACUGAGUGUUUGAAUGACGUAGAUGCAAAUGGAGGGAGGAUAAGGUGUUAUGUAGAUUAGAAGGAUGGGAGAAGGAGAGGAUAGUGGAGUUAGGUCUACAGCUGUCUUGUAUAGGUCUACCACCCUCUUGCGGACUCCUCAUUACUAUAAAAAUUACUAUGGAGGAGAUAAAGAGGAAAGAAGAGUCAAGAGUGCGUUAGAUGAAGAAGAGAGCAAAGAAAGGAAGACGCACUCAGGGUAGAAGAGGAAAAAAGAAGAAUAGACAAAGAGGAAAGCAGAAACAGGAAGGGAAGAAGAAAGGAAGGGUAGGAGAGGAAAGGAGAGACGUGAAAGACAGUAAGAGAGGAAUGAAGGGUAGAAGGAGAGAAAAAGAAUGAAGGUCAGAAGGGUAGAAGGUGAAGAAAGGAAGCAGUAGUUAGGGUAGAAGAAAGAAAGGAAAAAAGAAA